rnacentral:rRNA from 1 species
GAUGAACGCUGGCGGCGUGCCUAAUACAUGCAAGUCGAGCGAACGGACGAGAAGCUUGCUUCUCUGAUGUUAGCGGCGGAUGGGUGAGUAACACGUGGAUAACCUACCUAUAAGACUGGGAUAACUUCGGGAAACCGGAGCUAAUACCGGAUAAUAUUUUGAACCGCAUGGUUCAAAAGUGAAAGACGGUCUUGCUGUCACUUAUAGAUGGAUCCGCGCUGCAUUAGCUAGUUGGUAAGGUAACGGCUUACCAAGGCAACGAUGCAUAGCCGACCUGAGAGGGUGAUCGGCCACACUGGAACUGAGACACGGUCCAGACUCCUACGGGAGGCAGCAGUAGGGAAUCUUCCGCAAUGGGCGAAAGCCUGACGGAGCAACGCCGCGUGAGUGAUGAAGGUCUUCGGAUCGUAAAACUCUGUUAUUAGGGAAGAACAUAUGUGUAAGUAACUGUGCACAUCUUGACGGUACCUAAUCAGAAAGCCACGGCUAACUACGUGCCAGCAGCCGCGGUAAUACGUAGGUGGCAAGCGUUAUCCGGAAUUAUUGGGCGUAAAGCGCGCGUAGCGGUUUUUUAAGUCUGAUGUGAAAGCCCACGGCUCAACCGUGGAGGGUCAUUGGAAACUGGAAAACUUGAGUGCAGAAGAGGAAAGUGGAAUUCCAUGUGUAGCGGUGAAAUGCGCAGAGAUAUGGAGGAACACCAGUGGCGAAGGCGACUUUCUGGUCUGUAACUGACGCUGAUGUGCGAAAGCGUGGGGAUCAAACAGGAUUAGAUACCCUGGUAGUCCACGCCGUAAACGAUGAGUGCUAAGUGUUAGGGGGUUUCCGCCCCUUAGUGCUGCAGCUAACGCAUUAAGCACUCCGCCUGGGGAGUACGACCGCAAGGUUGAAACUCAAAGGAAUUGACGGGGACCCGCACAAGCGGUGGAGCAUGUGGUUUAAUUCGAAGCAACGCGAAGAACCUUACCAAAUCUUGACAUCCUUUGACAACUCUAGAGAUAGAGCCUUCCCCUUCGGGGGACAAAGUGACAGGUGGUGCAUGGUUGUCGUCAGCUCGUGUCGUGAGAUGUUGGGUUAAGUCCCGCAACGAGCGCAACCCUUAAGCUUAGUUGCCAUCAUUAAGUUGGGCACUCUAAGUUGACUGCCGGUGACAAACCGGAGGAAGGUGGGGAUGACGUCAAAUCAUCAUGCCCCUUAUGAUUUGGGCUACACACGUGCUACAAUGGACAAUACAAAGGGCAGCGAAACCGCGAGGUCAAGCAAAUCCCAUAAAGUUGUUCUCAGUUCGGAUUGUAGUCUGCAACUCGACUACAUGAAGCUGGAAUCGCUAGUAAUCGUAGAUCAGCAUGCUACGGUGAAUACGUUCCCGGGUCU